ACAUCCAGAGAAUUUAGCAGAGAUGCUUUAGUGCCUUCGGGAACUCUGAGACAGGUGCUGCAUGGCUGUCGUCAGCUCGUGUUGUGAAAUGUUGGGUUAAGUCCCGNAACGAGCGCAACCCUUAUCCUUUGUUGCCAGCACGUAAUGGUGGGAACUCAAAGGAGACUGCCGGUGAUAAACCGGAGGAAGGUGGGGAUGACGUCAAGUCAUCAUGGCCCUUACGAGUAGGGCUACACACGUGCUACAAUGGCGCAUACAAAGAGAAGCGACCUCGCGAGAGCAAGCGGACCUCAUAAAGUGCGUCGUAGUCCGGAUUGGAGUCUGCAACUCGACUCCAUGAAGUCGGAAUCGCUAGUAAUCGUAAAUCAGAAUGUUACGGUGAAUACGUUCCCGGGCCUUGUACACACCGCCCGUCACACCAUGGGAGUGGGUUGCAAAAGAAGUAGAUAGCCUAACCUUCGGGAGGGCGUUUACCACUUUGUGAUUCAUGACUGGGGUGAAGUCGUAACAAGGUAAGCGUAGUGCU
rnacentral:rRNA from 1 species